UGGCACAUUCACCAUAUAAAUCAGAUCACAGGAGGCAUGUUUAAUCCACUUAAGAGUAUUAAGUAUUUUGUGGGACUUUAGCACAACAUUUAUGAAUGCAAAAAUAUUCUGCUAUGCACAGCCGAGUGUCCUGUAUUUGUUAAAGGGCAUCUAACAGGGUGUCCUCUCCUCUGGGACACUUUAUUAGCAGUUAGUUAAUAUUGCACUAUUUUUGAAAGAUUUAUACGCAUCAUAUUUCCUCUAGAGUUGUCAAAAAACUUGAUUUGUUAAUAUUUUAGAUAAUCAUUGCCUAAAUUCCAUAAAACUUCACAGAGUCUCCGUCAAACUUAAAUAUAAAAAUGAUAACGGAGAUUUGCUUCAAGGUGACAGUAUUUUUCUCACAGGGUGAUGAAAUUACAAUGAAAUUAGGCACUUCGUAAACUGCAGGGUGUUUCACACGUGUCAUUCAUUCACUCACUCAUUAUUUCUUUACUGGUUUUUGUAAGCCAAACCUUGCGCUAGAUGGUAGGGAUAUAGUCAUGAGCCAGAUGAACAGACGAGCCCUCAUGGAACUUAGAAGCUGGUGGCGAGAGACAGGAAGUUAAAGUAGGGGCAGUAAAGAUAUGAUAGGAGAAGCACCAGUUGCUGAGAAAAUAUAUAGGAGAGUCACGUAACCCAGACUAGUUGGAGGGGAUAGUCAGGGAAGCCUUCCUGGAAGAAGUGGCAUCUAGGCUGAAACCUGCCAGUUGAUUUGGAGUUAACCAGGUGAAGGAGUGGACCGAGCGGGAAGAGCACUCCAGAAAGAGGAAACAAAAUGUGCAAAAUCCACGAGGCGAAAGGGAGAGCAUGAAGCAGUCCUGGAAGUGAAAGCGGUUCUGCGCCGCUGCAGUAGGGGGUCCUGAUGAGAGAGGGAGCCUUGAUGCAGGUCAAGAGACCAGUGGGAACCAGAUCACAAAGGACCUAAGGAAGCUGGACUUUCUUUUAUCCCCGGGGCAAUGGAUGACCAUUGAAAGGGUUUAUGCAGGGCGGUCUCAUGAUCUGGUAAUGUCGUGGAAUGAUCACUUUGGCUGUUGUGUGGAGCAGGGGCUGUGGGAGGGUGAGAAUGGAAGCCAUGAGAUCAGAGAGGCCUUGGCUGGAAACACUGGGGGCCCAAACUAAGGGAUUGGGGGAGGGGACAGAAUGAGAUAUUUGGACGGCAAAAACAAUAAGCCUUAACAGUGGAUGGGAUGUGGAGGGAGAGGGAUAAGGAAGAGUGGUGUGAGCACCUGGGGAAAUGGUAGCACCUGCCAUUCACUAAAAUGUAGAAAACUGCAGGUGGAGCAGGCUGUGUGCAUGCAUGGCGGGGUGCAUGAGAGGUCACUUUGGCUGUGCUGCGGCUCGUGUCUUGGGAGCGGUCUCUAAGCAGGGAUAUUCUGCAGGCAGUCGGAUUUGUGUCGAACCCUAGUCUGCUGAGAUAUCUUGGCCUUUGAAAUUCCAAUGGCAAUGCUUCUUUUUUUGAUUACUCAAGGAAUUUUAUUACAUUUAUAGUUGUACAAUGAUCAUCACAACCCAAUUUUAUAGCAUUUCCAUCCCAAACCCCCAGUGCAUCCCUCCACUCCCCAACCUGUCUCAUUUGGAAACCCUAAGUUUUUCAAAGUCUCUGAGUCGGUAUCAGUCCUACAAAGAAAUUCUUCGUGUCCUUUUUUUAGAUUCCACAUGUCAGUGAUAGCAUUUGAUGUUGGUGUCUCAUUGUCUGACUGACUUCGCAUGAUCAUUUCUAGGUCCAUCCAUGUUGCUGCAAAUGCCAUUAUUUCGUUCCUUUUAAUGGCUGAACAAUUCUUGAGUGGGUGAUUAAUGCUUUUCCUCCUUGCCUCUAGACCUCAAUUCUGGUCUCUGCUGAAUUAGUUCAGCUCAUGGAUCAUCUCCCUGUCCUGGUUCUAUGCCACACCUUCCCAGCUGUUGAACUAAGCUGCUUUCCUUGAUUUCCCCAAAACCCAAAAGCCAAACCCAGUCACACAAGGGCAUUGUGUAUGCGGCGGGUUUGACUCCUGAUUUGUGGAGAUCAAAGGGGUUGGGGUGCCAGGAGUGCAGUACAAUGAAAAAUGAAUAACCACAUCCUUGUUCUUAAGAAGCCCUUGGCCAAUCUGCCAACCUGGGCUGCAGCCUCCUCCUGAAAUUGCUUUGCCCUCUCUGCUUUUCAUCUCUCAGUGCCUCCUAGCAACAGAAACAAACAAAUCAAAAGCAAGCAUCCCAUUAGAUUAUGCAUAAUUUCUUUAUAGUUCCUUUCUUCAAGACAUCUUUUCAUAUCCAGAGAUUCAAAAUGCACUCUGCCAAAAGUGCUAUAUAUAUCUUUGGGUUCUCCCCAACCCUUCCUGCCCCCCCCAUCUUUGUGGAGAAGGAGGUAUAUGAGUUAUUUCACCACUAAUAUGGGUGACAUCCUCCAGGAGGAAAAUGGCCACAGCUAGUUUUGAUUUGAAAUAUCUAUUUGUUUCCCAUCAUUAUUUGAGUCUGGCUCUUGAGAGUAGGCUGAAGGUAGAGGUUUGACAGUCACCAUUAGAAAGCUUCUACUCGAGGCAGUAGGAGUGCAUGUGAUCAGCCAAAGACAGCAUGCAUAGUGAGAAGAGAAGGCGGCCUAGGAUAGAAACCAGCGGUUUGAAGCCUUACAUUUUAAGGGAGCCGCAGAAGACAAGGGGCCCUAAAAGGGGAGUGAGGAGGGUGAAGGGACAGGCAGAAGAGCAGCAGAGUGUGUUAUCCUGAAAAUCAAGGUAAGAGGGUAUUAUUUCUUGUGAGAAAAAGAGGCAAAAUCUAGGUUGUGUGCCUUGUAACCCAGGGUCUGUCCGAGUGCCUGGACUAUGUGAACGCUCAGUGAAUACUUGUUGAACUGAUAUGGGCAACCUUGCUAACCCGAUUUCUACUCACUUAUGGUCAGUACAGUAGCUGUUCCGAUUCUUUUCCAUAUAUUUCAAGUGUCCAGUGUACUUUGUCCUUCCCCACCCUCAUCAUGUGACUUAGCUUUAGGUCCUCUGAGAUGCGUUCCUUCAGCUUCUUUUUUCUCACGCUUACAGCUUCCAACACAGGUCUCUACAAGCACCCUCUCUGCUUCGAUAUGUCUUUGUCCCUCUCUUCUUUCCCAUGUGUCUGGAAGAUAAAGCUGGUACUGCUCUUUGCCAAGGCUCAUGACACUGUCCACCAGCUCUUUUCCUUCAAGGAAGCUCUGAUCUGUGCUUAUGAGACGCUCUUAUGGUCAACUUGCCUACGUUAAGAAAAAUUAUGAACCUAAUUACCAUUAAGUGGCAUUUAGUAAAUAAUAACUUUCAAAACAUUGCCUCCAAGGUUGUGCUGCUGGUGAGGGGAGAGAAAAAUGAAGAAAGCUCACGGUGAUGGAAAAAACUGGUCCAUGUACCCUCUUUACUUCCUUUCAACUUGGAGAGGGAACUGUACUUGAGGUUUCAAUCCUUCACAACUCACUCGUACUUAACCCCUUGUUAUCUGAGUUUCUGUUGUCAGAACUUCUCUCCUAUGGAUUUGGCUUGCCAAGUCUGGGUUUUCCCUCAGAUUUGAUCCACCUUGUCUGCUUGGCAGUCUUUUUAAAAAAAAUUUAUUGAAGUAGAGUUGAUUUACAACCUUGGGCUGAUUUCCUCUGUACACCAAGGUGAUUCAGUUGUACAUACAGAUGUUCUUUUUCGUAUUCUUUUCCAUUAUGGUUUAUCACAGGCUAUUGAAUAUAGUUCCCCAUGCUGUACAGUAGGGCCUUGUGUUUAUUCAUCCUGUAUAUACUAGUUUGCCUCUGCGAACCCCAAACUCCCAGUCUUCCCCUCUGCCCCUUGGCAACCACAAAUCUGUUCUCUAUAUUUGUGAGUCUGUUUCUGUUUUAUAGAUAGGUUCAUUUGUGCCAUAUUUUAGAUUUCACAUGUGGGUGAUAUCACAUGGCAUUUGUCUUUCUCUGACUUACUUCACUUAGUGUGAGAAUCUCUAGUUGCAUCCAUGUUGCUGCAAAAGGCAUUAUUUUGGUUUUUUGAUGGCUGGGUAGUAUUCCAUUGUAUAUAUGUGCCACAUCUUCUUAAUCCAGUCAUCUGUUGAUGGACUGUUAGGUUGUUUCCAUGUCUUGGCUGUUACAGUGUUGCAGUGAACGUAAGGAUGCAUGUAUCUUUUUGAGUUUUAGUUUUGUCCAGAUAUGUGCCCCGGAGUGGGAUUGCUGCAUCAUAUGGUAGUUCUAUAUUUAGUUUUCUGAGGUGCCUCCAUACUGUUUUCCAUAGCGGUCGUGCCAAUUUACAUUCCCACCAACAGUGGGUUGGUAGGAGGGUUCCCUUUUCUCUACACCCUCUCCAGCAUCUGUUGUUUGUGGACUUGUUAAUGAUAAUCUCUAUACUUAUUUUUUCAUAUUUAAUUUUGUAAAUAUUUUAAUAUACAGUUUUCACAGGUAGUGACUUUUUGUCUCCAGAGAUGCUUUCUUCAACUGAUAUUUUUAUAAGACAAAACACAUCAAAUAAGUUGUCUGAAUUUAUGAUUUAAAAAAAUUCCUUGCCCAUUUUAAAUGAUACAGAAUCAUAGGCCUUCUUGAUUUGAUUUCCUUGUGGUACAGAAUAUAUGUGUAUCCAAUUAAAAAAGGAACUCCUUGGAAAACUCUUUUCACAAAUAAAUAACCCAAAACACAAUUAUGGAAUUUAAAAAUCAAGGAGUUCCCUCUGUGGCUCAGCAGUUAACGAACCCGACCAGGAACCAUGAGGUUUUGGGUUCGAUCCCUGGCUUUGCUCAGUGGGUUAAGGAUCUGGCGUUGCCAUGAGCUAUGGUAUAGGUCGCAGAUGUGGCUCGGAUCUGGCAUUGCUGUGGCUGUGGCAUAUGACAGCAGCCAUAGCUCCAAUUCGACCUCUACUCUGGGAAGCUCCAUAUGCCAUAGGUACAGCC
rnacentral:lncRNA from 1 species